rnacentral:rRNA from 1 species
AUUGAACGCUGGCGGCAGGCCUAACGCAUGCAAGUCGAACGAGUGGCGGACGGGUGAGUAAUGUCUGGGAAACUGCCUGAUGGAGGGGGAUAACUACUGGAAACGGUAGCUAAUACCGCAUACCAUCGGAUGUGCCCAGAUGGGAUUAGCUAGUAGGUGGGGAAACGGCUCACCUAGGCGACGAUCCCUAGCUGGUCUGAGAGGAGGACCAGCCACACUGGAACGGAGACACGGUCCAUACUCCUACGGGAGGCACCAGUGGAGAAUAUUGCACAAUGGGCGCAAGCCUGAUGCAGCCAUGCCGCGUAUGUGAAGAAGGCCUUCGGGUUGUAAAGCACUUUCAGCUGGGAGGCGUUACCCGCAGAAGAAGCACCAGCUAACUCCGUGCCAGCAGCCGCGGUAAUUC